ACUAGCCUGUACGCUGACGUCAAUAAAAACAGUCAUUUCCAACCAGUCUGCGCAUUGACCGACCGUUCAAAACAUUACGCACAGCACCGCGGCUGGACCCACGCUAGACUACUCGACUGAAAUAAUUUUUUCGCCGAGCCCCGGAGAGCGGAGACAAUGCGGACAAACUCCACUGCAGGUGCAGGAGCAUCUAGAACAAUCCAGGUAGUGUGUGAUGGCAGGAAAGGUCUUCAUGGCGGAUGAUCACCACCAUCAUCAUCAUCACCACACUGCUCUACGCUUUUAGCCUCUUUACAGUGCUGCCUUGUCUAAUCAUGUUCAAGCAGCAUUGUACAGGGCUAUGACAGCAUAGAGAGCUGAGCUGCACGGGCGCUGCGUUUCUCUGACCCUUUGGAUGGCAGCCAACGAAUGACAUCAUCCGUUAAAAAACACUAAACGGCGAAGAUCGCAUGCGAGGACCGCUGGCAGCGGAGUGACUUGUCUUUUCAUGCUGAUGUCGUCAAAUACUGAAAUGCAUUGCUUUGGUUUUUAAGGUUAAAGGAAAAAUUGGGGCACAUUAAGUUCUCCCUGGGCUGAAUUAUUCAAUGCAAAGCUAAAUCCCUCUGCAGCCAAUGCAUUAUUGAACCAAUUAGUCACAUUGCAUUGUGUGCUGCCUUCUGGAUUAACUCGUUUGUGCAUCUCAUGUAUUACAAUUACAUUCAAGUCACAGGGCUGAGCAACCCCAUUUUACUAGAAAUCUUUCGUCUUUGGAGAAGUCAUUGGAAACAAGGGCGUAGGUUUGGGGGGUUUGCUAGAAUAAGCAUCAAAAAACUAAUUUCUUGCAUUUUGGUUAAUUUUAAUUUGUGCCCUUUUCUGCCAUGAUGUGUUAUUAUUUAUUUAUUUAUUUAUUUUGUAUGUAUGAUUAUUGUGUAUUUAUUUAUAUUAAUCUGUUUUUUUUAGCUGGCAUAUUCUUCUAUUUCUUUAUUUAGUUUUUAUCCCGCCUCUGGUGUUUGAUUGAUUGAUUGAGUAAUGAAAGAUUUAACCCAACUUAAAAUCAUGAGAGCCACAAACUGAGGCUGGAUAGGUCAUUGUUCUGUAUACAUGUAGACCAGGACUGCAACUAUUAUUUUCAUUAUCGAUUAAUCGUUUGGUCACAAAAACUCAGAAAAUACGUUUAAAAAUCACAAUUUCUCACAGAUACAAAUUCUUGCAGUCGAAUGCGACCUCUUCAAAUAUCUUUGUUUUGUCCAACUCACAGCUGGACAAAGGAAACCAGCAAAUCCUCUUGAUUAAAACAGGGUCUUUAUCCUUGAAAAAUUACUUAAACGAUUAAUCGAUUAUCGGAAUAGUUGCUUUUUCUAAGACAGGACAGCAGAGGAGACACCCGCUCACCAAUAUAAUUGGGCUAGACAGCCACAAAAUAGGUUCCCAGGCUAAAAUCAAUACAAAAAGAUGUCAAUUUAUUUAAAAAAAAAAAAAAAGGUGCUCAAAGUGCAAAAAAUGAUAAAAUCGGUGUAUCGGUGUGUGGGUAUCUCCUCUGUCGUCCUUUCUUGGUUGUCCAUUGUACCGACGCAACCAGGAUUAACAUUUUUGUUGCCCUAAGUAGACGCCAUUUCAGAGCAGCUUUUGUCAAUCAAUCAGCUAUUUGUUUAAGCGAAUGUAGCACCAGAAAUAUCCAAUAUACUAUUAAAAUGGUUUAAAGUUG